rnacentral:piRNA from 1 species
UGGUGAAAGUGUUGCAGAAAUCAAGC